rnacentral:lncRNA from 1 species
UCCUACAGAUGCUCCUGCGGACUGAGAAGAAGGGGGCAAAGGUUCCCUUCCUUUUCAACACGAGGCAGGCGGCCUUGCUGGAGGGAUGAGGAGGCCCCCGCACUCCCGGACCCGUCGACUCUUCACCCCAGCCGGCCUCUUGUGCAUCUGCUGAGGUUUGCCAAAUUGCGAGGUAAUUUCCCUGCCGAAGGCCUGGAGAAGAUCAUAAGUCACCGAUGGUGUGCAUGCCCAUUCUCCUGUGCUGUUUAAAAACAACUGUUCUGGUAAGCGAGAGGGGCAGGAUCCCCAGACGCCUUGUACUUGCAGGCUGUGGGUACAAAGGGCCAGAGUGCAUCUGUGAUCUGGCCUGGCAAAGAGACCUCGGGGCCCACUGGGUCUGACUCACUUUUCUGUGUCUGUGUGCAAUCAGAUUUGCGGCAGCUACAGCCCCAUGCGUCUGACUGUGCAAGGUAUGUGGUACUCCGUGCGGGACGCAUUUAACCUGUGCAACCCCAUGCAGCACGCCACCAAGAGGAAUUUUUCUUCCUGGCAAACAUAUGAAGGAAAGCCAUGUAUCUGCAUGUUGGCGUGCCUGGUGACAUGUUUCCAGUUCAGAUUUGUGUGGGCAUCUACAGUACCAGUGAAACAAAAAGGCCAUUGCCAGCCCUAUGUAAGCUCAGAGAAGCCUUGCCAUGAGCAUCCUACAGGCACAGUGAUGGACAGAAGAAGAGAUGCUCAUUGUGACGUGAACGUAAUUUCAGUACCUGCAGAGGAGAAAUGA